rnacentral:rRNA from 1 species
UACGUAGGGGGGCUAGCGUUGUCCGGAAUCAUUGGGCGUAAAAGCGCGUGUAGGCGGUCCGGUAAGUCCGCUGUGAAAGUCGAGGGCUCAACCUCGAAUGCCGGUGGAUACUGUCGGGCUUGAGUACGGGAGAGGCGAGUGGAAUUCCUGGUGUAGCGGUGAAAAUGCGCAGAUAUCAGGAAGAACACCCCGUGGCGAAAGGCGGCUCUCUGGGGACGGUACUGAGCUGAGACGCGAAAAGCGUGGGGGAGCGAACAGG